GACGAACGCUGGCGGCGCGCCUAACACAUGCAAGUCGAGCGAUAACCAGUCCUCGGGACGUGGGGACGAGCGGCGAACGGGUGAGUAACACGUGGGUAAGUCUACCCUCGGUUUCGGGAGUAGCCCGGGGAAACCCGGGAUUAAUACCGAAUGGCCUCUCAGGCUCUCGGGCUUGAGAGAAAAGGUAAGCUUCGGCCUCUGACCGAGGAUGAGCCCGCGGCCGAUUAGCUAGUUGGUGGGGUAAUGGCCCACCAAGGCGACGAUCGGUAGCUGGUCUGAGAGGACGAUCAGCCACACUGGGACUGAGACACGGCCCAGACUCCUACGGGAGGCAGCAGUGGGGAAUCUUGCGCAAUGGGCGAAAGCCUGACGCAGCGACGCCGCGUGCGGGAAGAAGGCCU
rnacentral:rRNA from 1 species